CAUUUCCCUAGAAAAAUGAAAGAAGACAUAGUAAAACAUUCGACUGCGAUCGGAUUAAGCAGAGCAAUAACGGAUUUCGGAAAUGCUUGGCACACUUCCAAACGUUUGAAGAAAAUACUUUUCGGAGGGAUAUAAUAAGCGUGUAAAUGAAUAUAUGCGCGCAAAUACACAAAUUACACAUACAA